UUCUCCUCUUCAACCUCCAUUCUCCCCCUCUCCCUUCUUUUCCUCUCUCUUUCACCCUCCCCCACUCUUUCGUGUCUCUUUCCUCCUCUGAAUAACCAAGCUGUUUUGCUUCCGAAAGUAGAGAGAGAGGGAGAGAGAGAGAGAGAGAGAGAGAGAGAGAGAGAGAGAGAGAGAGAGAGGAGAGAGAGGCCUUGCUGUGAAUGGAAGACAGGAGGGACUCUGGUACAUCUGGGAGUGGAAACUUGAUGCUUCUGGGCUGUGAUUUGCCAAGGUCUCGCCAAAGACGCCUAAAGGAGCCUGUUUGUGUGCUGUGUGGCCACGUUCUGCUGUGACUGGAUCUUGUCUUCUGCCUGGCUCCUCGAUUUCCGUCCGGCUGGAUUUGGGGACAACACUGCCUGGCGCAGACAGAUCAAAUGACACUUCAAAGAAGCAUAAAAUGAACAGACUAUUCAAACAAAGGAUGGUGCUGGGGCAGAUGGAGUGA
ensembl:lincRNA